rnacentral:rRNA from 1 species
UGGCGGCGAUAGCGCGGUGGUCCCACCUGACCCCAUGCCGAACUCAGAAGUGAAACGCCGUAGCGCCGAUGGUAGUGUG